GAUGAAGAACGUAGCGAAAUGCGAUAAGUAAUGUGAAUUGCAGAAUUCAGUGAAUCAUCGAGUCUUUGAACGCACAUUGCGCCCCCUGGUAUUCCGGGGGGCAUGCCUGUCCGAGCGUCAUUGCUGCCCUCAAGCACGGCUUGUGUGUUGGGCCCCCGUCCCCGGUUUCCCCCGGGGACGGGCCCGAAAGGCAGCGGCGGCACCGCGUCCGGUCCUCGAGCGUAUGGGGCUUUGUCACCCGCUCUGUAGGCCCGGCCGGCGCCAGCCGACACCCAACUUUAUUUCUAAGGUUGACCUCGGAUCAGGUAGGGAUACCCGCUGAACUUAAGCAUAUCAAUAAGCGGAGGGA
rnacentral:misc_RNA from 1 species